CUUUUUUUUUUUUUUUGCUUGUGUUGUAUUUCUGGCAGCAUUUGUUGAGAAAAUGCUUAAAAAUUUUUUUCAAAAUAUUUGUUUUUCGAAAUUUUUAUGAUAAUAGUUCUUGUGGGCAAUGAACAUUGUUAUUAUUUCUGUUUAUUUUGAUAUUUGUCACACAUGGGUUUUCCUGCUGGUUGAUCUGUCAUUAGUAUAUUUUGUCAGUUUCUGUCGAUCUGUGAUUCUUUUGUUUGUUAUUGGUUCUAUAGACUUCACAGAGAAAGAGGUGAAUAAGAUAGUGGAAGCAGGUGCUACUGCUGUUGGUCUUGGGCCACAUCGCUUGCGUGUUGAAACUGCAACAAUAGCUCUCUUAGCAACUCUAAUGUUAUGUUCUGACUCGCAGCAAAUGCCCAUUCCUUAAGCACCCUUGGUGGUAAGACCUCUCUCUAGUCUCCUGUCUAGCUUUAAGUUUUUGAGUCUAAGGUGCAUUUGGGAUUGAGGUUGGACACAACAUUAAAAUGUUUGGUAAAAACUUGCUGCUGUAGUUUGAAAGCUAUAUUGAUAUGAUUUUUCACUUGUAUAAUGGAAACUAUAUUAUAUCAUUAAUAAUUUUGUCAAAAUUAUUAUUUAAAAUUUAUAUUUAUUACAUAUUAUUAACUUUUGUUUCACAGUUAUAGUUUUUUUUUUUUUACAGCAGCUGUAGCUUAAAAGUUACAACACCUCAAUCUCAAAUAGGAACUAAGUUUUACUAGAUAAGUGGCAUGGUGUGAUAAUAAGUUGGACCAGCCAAUGACAAUCUUCAUUUUUAUGAGAUUGAAUCAUAAAUGAAUACCCAAUAUAUAUAUCUCACUACUUCAGUAGUGACUGGAAUAGACAUGGGCUGUGAUUUGAAUCAUUUUCUAGAUUGUGCUGUGAUUUGCAAAAUUGUCAAUUCUAGGUUCUUUUACUUCUAAUCCCUGCCGAGGCUCCUAUUGCUGGAUGCUUGUCUGCCAUUGAUCAAUCAGUUAAUCAGCUGUAGGUUUUGGAUACGAAGGCUAGGCUUAUUUAUCUUCUUGGGCCAGAUUUGUCUGUAUAUUUAAACAUAUCCUUGGCUUUGAGACUCAUGAGACCACUGGUUGAUAGGCCAGCCUGGGACAGUGCGGGAUGGCCCAAUUUCUGUUCUUUUCCUACAUUGUUAUGAUGUUAAACUAAAAGUAAAUAGGUUUUGGAUAAAAUCAGAUCCAAAUACUGGAACAUAGUCAAGAUUGAGCAAGUAUUGUUUCCUCAGGUUUGGCUACCUUAAUGUGUACCGUACAGUACUGAUGGGGGUUAAGUUUUGUUGUUUGUUCAUAAUCAAUUGAAAUUUUUGAGAUGCCGGUCAAGUUUGGAAUAUGGUCAAAAUCAGAACAUUUAUGAAAAUCAAAGUUUAUUUAACUGGAUUUUGAGAUAUAUUGUCCAAUGCAAUGAACUCGUUGUUCGUACUACUUUUUGAUCAAAUUCCCUAUGUUGAAGUUUGAAUAUUGAACAUGGACUCGACUAGCUUACAGAAUCUGUAAGCUACAGCUGCGGCAUCAGCCGUUGGAUGUGGUUGGAUGUGGAGUGAGAAAUUAAACCAUAGAAAAUGGGACGGUGGGAUGACGGGAGAUGUUAGGUACAGAAUCUGUACCAUAGGCAGGUCCUAUUGAACAUACAUGCAGUCUAAGUUUUCUUAGGAAAAGAUCUUUGUCUUACCAACCAUAUUUUGAGAUAUAUUCUCCAAUGCAAUGAACUGCUUGUUCGUACCACUUUUAGUGAUCAAAUUCCCUACGUUGAAGUUUGAAAAUUGAACAUACUUGAAGUCUUAAGUUUUCUUCAAAUCUCCAUUAUUGUACUAUAUAUUGUUAAAGCAAAUGAAUUUUGACUUUUAUUUUUGCAUUUCUUUAAAUUUAGAACCCGUACAUAUUGCUGAUGCAGGACUUAGGUGGAGUUCUCUCUCAGUGAAUUUUGACUGCGCUUGCUGAACUUUUUCCAAAGGUGGAUCAGUGCUGGAGAAUCUUUUUUUGGUGACACAAGGUAAUCCAAGUAACCAAACUGUUUAUUUCUCCGCUAAUUUGUCUAAUAAGGUUAUUAGCUUUGUCUUACUCAAAACAUACAUUUUGUUGUACAAAAUAUAUAUCAUUAAUGUAAGUUUAGUUUUCAUCUUUUCCUUAAAACUUUUACAUGAGCAAAUUGCCUGCAGCUGGUUGUAGACUUGUAGUUCAGGUUCACAGGUGUAUUGCCACAAACCACAGGAUACCCUCAUGUUCACAUAGUUUGAACUCUAGACCUCCCGUUCUAUCCAAAGAGAUCUUACCAGUUAAAUUAACUAGCAAUCACACAUAUUAUGCUCAUUCCGUGUUUAUGUGCACUCUUAAUGUCGUGUUUGAAUCUGAAUUUUGAAAAAUAUUUCUGGACCUUUCUCUGAAAUGCAGAUUUCAAUCAAAUACUGUCAUUUUCUUGCUUUCCUACUCACCAAUCUCUCUCUCAUUGAUUGUAGACUUUUUGGGUGCAACUGGGAAACGAAUUGUACUGGGGAGGGUCGUUCCGCAUCUGCAGAGAAUUUCAUUUAUAAAUUUAUCACUAGUCAACCAAAAUCUAGGUCUUUGACUCUUUGAACUUUGAAGCCUCACCAUAUUUAUUUAUGGGAUGUGACUAAGGUGUAAAAGCUGUACCAUACAUCAACUGUGCUUUUUGUUAUUGAUAAUAAUUUAUUAUUUGUUACGAACAACUAAAAACUGGUGGUGGAUGCACGAGAAAUUUUAGAAAACAUCAUAGGCAUCACGUCAGUCAUACAAUAAAUAAAUAAUGUUAUGAUAUGUAUGUAUUUAGUUUGAAAAGUUAUCGUAUAAGUGGUAAUUAUAUUAAAUUUAACUACAUAUGAUAUACAUUCAUUAAUUAGUUGUAAUACAUUAUAAGUAUUAUAGAAUUUCUUCAUAUACACGGUGUAUUUGAUGUAUCGUAAUAAGACCCUUAUUUAUGUAUCCUAAUAGCAAUUAUCAUUCAAUAUAAAAAUGACAUGUUUUUGACUUGAUGGUUCUCUAAGUCUUGCGUCGCUUAAUAUUAUUAUUUAUUUUACAAAACUUUUCUCUCAGCGGUUUGCUACAAAUGCAGUCGAUGCAUAAAACUAAUGGUCACAUGAACCAAGCACGCUUGCGCAUGGGCCCCGAAGUUUUCUCAAGUGUCUUUCGAAUUUGAUUCAUUUCACACGUGUAACAAUUUUUUUUUCCCGGAUUUUUUGACUUUUGAUGGUUUCCCAUUGGUUUUUAUCAUGACAAAAUUAUUUCUUUUGCAUCACUCACCAUUGAGGUCAAGAUAAACUAAUCUUACCUUUUGAAUCUCUUGGUGAUUAUCAUUUCCUUUUCGAAUAUUUUUGUGUAUUGUAUUUUACGAGAGUAAUUUUUCUUUAAAUUUGAGAGUAAAUUUAUCAUUCAUUGAGCUAAUAUUCGGACAGGCUUCUUAUAGAACUAUCAACUAGUAUGAUAUAGCAUUAAAAAAAUUAUUACAUAAAUAAAAAUAAAACUUAUUUUCAAUAUGAGCGGGAUUUUAAUUAAAACCAGUGUUAUAUGUAAUGUACCCUCAAAAGGACAACCCUUGUUUUCCCUUUUUGAGUUAUACAGCAGAAUGAGAAAUAUGAGCGACUAUUUUUUUCAAAAGUAUUUUUCUCUUUAAAAGGAAAAGAUUUUCUCCAAAGCUACUUAUUUUUUUUUUCAGAUAACAAAAAUUAGAAAACAAUAUACGUAUUAUGUUGUAGAUGAAAUUGCAAAUAAAAUAAUUUGAUAGCAUAAACAUUUUAGCAGAUAAAAUAUUUACAAAAUCGACAUCUUCUAAUUGUCCGAAACAGGAAGCUAAGCAGUCACCACAAAUCUUAUUUUAAUCAUUUGAGCACUUCACCCCUACGUGGGUAUGUGUAUGUUGCACGUGUGUCCAUUUACUUUUGUUUCGAUAUGUGUGGAUUGAAUUGAUGACCAUUUCUGAUAAAACAAAAAUCCAAAAUAUGGGAGGGUGAUGGGUUCACAUCACAUGUGAAAUUAUUCUUGUCUAUCAUUUUUAUAUUUGAUUAAAAAUAUUAUCUCCCAUUAGCAACUUUUAGCUUCCCUAUAAUUCUCACUAUCUCACAAGGAAUUAUGAUCCAUAAUUUUUCAUUAAUUUCAUGGAGUGAUUAUGUAACUAUAAAAGGAGAGCUCAUUUUUUUGUUUUGUACACACACAAUUAGAAUGAAUAAAAUCACUCUAUAAUAUAUUCUCUCAUUGCAUUGCUUUUUUAUUUGUAUUGCUGGCUAAUAGUUUUUUUUGUUUUUUAUAAGAUUGCCUCAUCUUAAAAAAAAAUCAAUUCAUAUUUUUUAUCAGUUUCAUCAAGUGUAAAGUAAAAAAAAAUAAUAAUACUAAAUUCUUUUUUUAAAGCCGCGUGAAACGCGGUUUUAUUUUCUAAUUUAUGCAUAAAGUGCAGACCAGCCAAUUAAAAAAUUUAAUCUGUUUUGAUGCGAUACGUGCUACAUACAAAAUCCCAAUAUUUCAUUAAAGCACGUAAAAGGGGUUGUGGGUAAAGACUGUUAUUCAUCGUUGAAGUCGCUUUCGAAAGGGCACUAAUUAUGAAUAUUCAUGUCCUCUCUAAAUGAUUCUUUUAUUGUGUGAAUGGCAGACUUUUGUUUUAGAUUCAAAUAGCUGAAACGUAAACCAACUUGUAAUUGUCAAUGACGGAGCAUCAAAUUUCUUUCCCAACCAACUUUUCGUUUGUUUGAAUCAUUAUCGCAUUCUUUUUUAAAAAUAAUUAAUUAAUUAAUCAUCAUCUUAAUUAAUCGUGCUCAAAUCUCCAUUAUGGCUCUAUUUGAUCUAAUUUUUCAAAUAAAACUUUAUUUAAGUAGUGUUUUACCAAAAAUAUUUUUUAAUUAUUUUUAUUGUUAAUGAAAUCUUUUAUUAAAAAUCAUAAAAUUAUUUUCAUAGACAAAUUUUUUUCAAAAUUACAUUAUGAAAAGAAUAAAAUAAGAUUGUUGAGCAAGUAAAUGAUAUUUUAAACAUUUUAAUAUUUCAAAAAAAAAUUUCAAUCUCUACUCUUGAAAGUCGAAAAUUUAGAUAUUUACUAGUAGAUACGAAAUAUCGUAUUUAAUUUUUCAGAAGCUCUAUUAAAAAAUUAACAACACAAAAAUUGAAAAAAAACGUAUGGAAUUAAAUAAAUACUUAUGAUUAUUAGAUAAGUCAUACUAAACAGUAGCUUAACCAAAAUUUCAAAUAUUUCACUAUUAUUCCAUAUACGCAUAUGUUAUAUUACAUCUAAAGUUUAACGAAAGUUUAAACACACAUAAUUAUAACAUAGUCUUUGGUUUGUAAAAUCUUUACUUAAUAAAGGUGAAAGAAGAAAUAUUUAGAAAAUCCGAACGUUUAUUCCUCCAAGAUAGAGGAAAGACUUUUUAUAUCACGCUAACCAUGGCCUAGAUAGGUGAUAUGUAUCUGCUCAAUUAAUAAGCCAUUACUUGAGUUUGUAGUCAAAUUUGGGCCAAAAUUUUCUAUUUGGUGUUGGCUCCCAUUGUUGCUUUGGAACGUUGAAUUGUCAGAGUCAAUCGUGCCAACAAUGGAAAAAUAAAACAAAAAAGGAAGAAAAUUAGUUUUAUGGUUAAUAUUUAAUCAUAUGAAAUGUCAAACUUAAAUUGAUAUAUAUAUCUUAUCUCCUAAUUUGCCUUGGGCAAAAGUGGAGAAACUCACCAUAUGGAUCAUGAAUCAAACAAUUAUAGCAAUACCAAGAAUGGUAGCAUUUGUUUCUCAACAUCUUUUGCAGACAAACAUAUUUCAUGAGAUGCGUGCCACAAAUAAGUGUACAAAAGGUAGAAAUAGACCCAUUAUUUGCUGCUAAUAUCUGUCGUAUAUUUAUAACGUAAUUAGUUUGAUAAGGAUUAAAAAAAUUAAGUAUUUUAAUUAAUUUAAUUUGUAUAAAAGUUACAAUUUUGUUUUAACUGAAGUAUCUAGUAUGGUGAAAGAUCAAAAAAGAUAAACUCUAUUAACACUAUAUGCAUUUAUGGAUAAGACGCGUAGCCAAGUGAAAUUUUAACUAAGCAAAUUAAUCUUUUAUUUUUAUUUAUUAAUCAAAUAUUGGAGUGGGAAUCUCGGAAUUAAGAGUGUGGAGUGAGAUGAGAGUAAGUUGUUUACUUGCAUUGGAAUGGGCGUAUGGAACUAGAAUCAUAAUCUAAUUUAUAUGUUUAUUCUAUCUUGAGUUGAGAAUAAAUUGUUUUAAAUUAUAAUUUUACCCUUAUUUAAAGAAUUGUAGCUUUUAAUUACAAAAUUAAUAAAAAAUAUAUUUGAAAUAAAAUAUUUAUUUCACUAUAUUUGUAAAUUAACAAUAAUUAUUAAUAUUAUUAAUUAUGUAAAUCAAAAUUUUGUAUUAGUUUUAAUUUUAAUUAUGUAAAAUAAAAAUUAUUGAUAAGAGCAACACAAAUGAAACACUAUUAUUAAUAAUAUAGUGCAAAAUUAAUAGUUUCUUAGAAUAAACUAUUUAUUAUUAUUUAUUAUUAAUCUGCUGUACCGNNNNNNNNGAGGUGGGAGUGGAUCUCUCCCCUCGGAGUGGGGGACUCUUUACUCCAAAAAAUGGGUGAAGACCAUGAAGUUAAAUUCUCACUACUCUCUUAAAAUAUGUAAAUAAAUAUUAAAGUGUAAAGAAUCUGCAUUCUUUGCUCCCACUCUAAUAAGUAAAUAUAUGAAAUAUGCAUUUACAGAUAAGUCACGUAGCCAUGUGAAAUUUUAACUUAGCAUAUUACUCUUAUAUUUUUAUUUAUUAACCAAAUAUUUUUUAUAUGUAUUUAUUGGCCAAAUUAACCGUUAUACAAUUAAACUGGAGAUGAUUUAACUACGAGUUAAAAGUGGGUUGACUUGAGAAGCUCCUGAUUUUGUGAUAAUUUAUCUGGAUUUGAUUUCGUGAACUAAACUAGUUAUAUUAGAUAAGAACAAAAGAUUUGAUUCUACGCUACGCGGUUCAUGAUAAACAUGCGUCUUAUAAAAUGAGUGGUUAAGAUGUUAUGAUCAACCUUAAAGUUAAUGUUAAAAAGAAAUUAGAAAAAGAAAAAGGAGUUGUCUAUUGUAUGACCGUCAGUCAGACAAGUUCUUUUGAGGAAGAUGGACACUUCAAGUACACUCAAUCAUAACCCAAUCACAGAAGUCAGAAAAGGACGGUGAGUGGCAAACUGGAGAUUAUCACAAAAACUAACCCCAUAUUUCUAAAUCUCAGUCGAUAAAGACCCACAAAACUAUGACCCAGGAACGAAAGAAAUCAAACCAAAUCCAAGCAGAAGCAAAAGCAAAAGCGAAAGCGAAAACUAAAAACACAAAGCAAAAGGCAAGUUUUUUUUUUUUUUUUCUAUCCUCAAACCACAAAAUGCUAGAUUUAUAACACCAACAACCCAAGAAGGCAAUCACUCCCCACCACUUUUUGUGUUCAUAUUGUUUUCUGAUCAAACCCAAAAUGGCAAUAAACCAGCUGGAGAAUUUGGUGGAGUCGAUCAAAUCGAAAGUGAGAGCCUUGAAGAAAAAGAAGAACAAACCCUACAUCAAAAUGGACAAAAGCUCAAGUGUUAAAGUUGAGAUCCGCAGCAGAAAAGCAAAAAAGCUCAUUGACAAAACUCUCCAGGUUGCUGAUCGCCCUGGCAAGCGUAGCAUACAAUAACUUGAGUCUUUUCUAAUUUGUAUGUGUAGGUAUACAAUAUAUUUUGUGUUAUCAUUUUUUUUGGUUUUGUCUGUGCAUGUUUGUUGUGCAAGCUGAUUCUGUGUUAGCGAAAUGGAACCGUUUCAGAUUUGCAACAGUUUUUACAAAAGCACUUUCAUUAUUAAUGCUUUCUCUCUUAAUGGCUAAUGAAUCUUCAAUGAAAUGGGUUCUUCUCUUCUUCUUAGAAACCUCUAUCAAGAAUAAAAAAUAAAAAUUAAAAGUAUUUUUUAAAAAUUGUCAAUUGACAAAUAAUAGGUCACAUAAAUUAUGACAAUUUAUUUUUUUCAAAAUUUGGGAUUCUUAGAGAGAGAGAGAGAGAUGAAGUAGUGAUCAUGGCUUCUAAAAAUAUAUUGCACGUAGACAAGUGCACAUAUGUUUUCGGAUGUGUUUGAAUCUUGAUAUUAUUUCUGUACGCUCAACACAUGGUUUUCUAGGUGCUGUUUAAUUUUGACCCCGAUAUAAGUAUUUUUGGGUUGGGUUCAAAAUUUUCUGUUCAAAAAAUUUGAAAUUGAACUUGAACCUUUGCUCGAACUAAUUCUAUUAAGUUAAAAUAAUGCCAAUACUACAAGCGAAUUAUAAAAAAUGGUUUUUUUUUUUUGGGUAGACGCACACGUUUCUUUUUAAUAAUCAUAACCACUGACAAUAGGAUAUGCCAAGUUGGUCGUACCAAAUUUUCUGGCAAUUAAAUUGAUACUACCAGAUUUUCCGGCAGGUGGUAAAGACUGAAACGGAAGAGCAUCUAGUCUAAGAACUAUCGAAAGCACGUUAGAUUUUUAUGGCUUUUGGCCAAAAGAUCCGAAUUUGAAGCAAUUUGAUUACCAAUUCAUAUGAAAUUGGAAGCACUAUUUAAUUAGAUAACUAUUAAAAAGAAUACAUAAUAAGCACUAUUAACCUUCUUUUGGUGCCAGGAAUUGCUGAUACAUUCGUUUUUUGGCUAGAAUUUAAUUGGACGCAAUAAAUUGCUCUUCUCUUCAGAGCUUCCAGGUUGGUCCUCUCAAAAUGAAAUUUGAAAGUUUGACUACAAAUAUGGACAUUAGUGCGGCUUAUUUCUAGUUCUAAUGCUCAAAGUGGCUUUCUUAUUUCUAAUUCUAAUUCUAAUUACCAAGUAGCUUUCAUUUGACAAAAUAAUAAUAAAUAAAAGGAAAAUGAUGUUUGCCCCGGGUCAAACCCCGAAACUAAACAAAAUGACGUCGUUUGGUUUUUUAUUUUUUUCCUUUUUGCUUCUCCAAAACGUUGUCGUUUAACUUAGCAUUUGCAAAAUGACUCUGCGUCUCUCUUCCUCUUCGUUUCUUCGUUUCACCAGGGAAUGAGACAGAAUGGAAAGAAUCUUCGUCUUCGUUACUAUCUAGCACCCGAACGAAGAUCAAGCAGUGUUGUGUUUGCCGAAAACAACUCAACAUUCAAAUUGAAACAACUCAAGCUUGUUGUAAAAGCAUUGCAGUAUAAGGUUGGGAUAUACAAACAAAUGCCCAGCUCAUUAAUCAACAUUCAAAAUGCAAUAUAGAAAAAAAUACUCAGUUAAUCUUGUUCUGCCGAAACUUCACAGUCGAUAUUGGUCUUGUUCCGCAGAAACUCAGCUUAGUAACUGAAACUCAGCUUUCACGGACAAAUUUCGCAGCUGCUGUUAAUCAUCUUCUUCAUUAAAUGGGUGCGUUCUUUGUAAGAGAAAGAUCACAGCUUAAGACGAAGAGGAUGAAGAGAAAAGCAGCUGUUAAGUCAAACAAAGAAGAAGACGGGCACGGAUUUUGCAUAGUCAUUUUGCAAAUACUAAGUCAAACGGCAACGUUUUGGAGAAGUAAAAAAAAAAAAAAAACCAAACGGCGUCGUUUUAUUUAGUUUCGGGUUUGACCCGGGGUAAAUAUCAUAACUCUAAAUAAAAUCCAAUUGUCCACCUUUUGAAUGUCAAACUUCUGAAACGUCAAUGGCCAAACAAUCACUUCUCUAAUUACAAGAGAGAUGUACUGGUUUACUGAUUUUCUGAAAGAAACUUUAGAAGCAAUUAAAAUAGGUUUGAAGAAUUUUUUUAAUUUUUUUUAUGGAAAUACUUUGAAGAAUAGAAUUGUGGAAUUAAAGUUAUUGUUGUCUAUAAUUAAUAAUCAAUUAAAAUAAAUAAUGGCGAUUUCAAAAAAUAAAAUAAAAUAAAGAGUAGGGUCGGUCGGCCUAGCGUAAUUAAUAAAUGAAGGUUGAACUUUGACUAUCCAUUUCAAGGUUCCUUUAAUGUAUAUAAGCCUGUAUUAAGCUCGAUAAGAAUUAGGAAAAUUAAUUUCUUGUUCAUUUUUGAAAAUUUAAUUGGUUUUAAUUAGAUGACCAAAUAAAAAUACAAAUUUUUAUGAUAGAUUAGUAGAUAGAUUAACAAUUGAAAAUGAAACCAACAAAGUAUACUCUACAACAGCUGUACCUUAAAAGUUACAUACCUCACUCUCAAACGCACACUUAAUUUACCACAAACAUAAUAGAAUAAGUUGUGCUAAUUUUUUAUACUAACAAAUAAAUAUUUGAUUCACAUGAAAAUAAAGGGUACAACUAUAUAUUUUUAAAUACAAACUUAUUCUCAAUAUCAUGGUAAUCAAUUACCACGCACUGAACUCCCAUAAGUUGCCAAAAGCUCAAACGAUGACAGCACCAUUAGUGCUCAAGCUUUGGUUUGAGUCAAUGGAAAGAAUGAGUGCGGCCACAAACUUCUCUCAGUGCCCAUAAACCCAGCGGAAAAUUUCUCAAUUGGGUCAAAAAAUAAAUGAAAACUGCUGUACGGCCAAGGCGGAUGUACGGUACAGCAGUCAAACAAAGAAGAAGACGGGCACGGAUUUUGCAUAGUCAUUUUGCAAAUACUAAGUCAAACGGCAACGUUUUGGAGAAGUAAAAAAAAAAAAAAAACCAAACGGCGUCGUUUUAUUUAGUUUCGGGUUUGACCCGGGGUAAAUAUCAUAACUCUAAAUAAAAUCCAAUUGUCCACCUUUUGAAUGUCAAACUUCUGAAACGUCAAUGGCCAAACAAUCACUUCUCUAAUUACAAGAGAGAUGUACUGGUUUACUGAUUUUCUGAAAGAAACUUUAGAAGCAAUUAAAAUAGGUUUGAAGAAUUUUUUUAAUUUUUUUUAUGGAAAUACUUUGAAGAAUAGAAUUGUGGAAUUAAAGUUAUUGUUGUCUAUAAUUAAUAAUCAAUUAAAAUAAAUAAUGGCGAUUUCAAAAAAUAAAAUAAAAUAAAGAGUAGGGUCGGUCGGCCUAGCGUAAUUAAUAAAUGAAGGUUGAACUUUGACUAUCCAUUUCAAGGUUCCUUUAAUGUAUAUAAGCCUGUAUUAAGCUCGAUAAGAAUUAGGAAAAUUAAUUUCUUGUUCAUUUUUGAAAAUUUAAUUGGUUUUAAUUAGAUGACCAAAUAAAAAUACAAAUUUUUAUGAUAGAUUAGUAGAUAGAUUAACAAUUGAAAAUGAAACCAACAAAGUAUUGGCUCCACUGGCAAUGGAGUCCCCUUAAGUGGCUUGACUGGGUUUGCUCCCCAGUUCGAGUCGCAGGGAAGUCGCCUUUGUUAAGAGAACUUGUGCCUCUCGAUUCGAGCGGGAACUUAUAGUCUGGGUUGUGGUACGGGCUUAAAGGUGCCUCCCACAGUUGAAGCCCUCCCCAAAAUACCUUGUGGUCAAAACAAUUAAAAAUGAAGCGUCAAAUUAAUUAAAUUAAUUAUCUUGACCCGUAACUACUAUCAGUAAUCAGACGGGGAAGUUUCAAAUCCGCAUUAAUUAAGUAGAAGCAGCCGGCAUUGAUGGAAAGCGAUUGCAAUUUGCAAGCAUUAGUCUAUCAAAUUAAUUAAGAGAGAAGAAGGAAAGGAAACCAAACCUCCCUCUUGUUUAAUAAAAUUACUUAUUUGUCUCUCCGCGUUUUAUGAUUCAUCAAUCUCCUCACAAUAUGAUAAUAUUAUGUUGAACUUCAAAUUUUUUACUUCAAAAUCAGUGUACCAAAUCCGAAACAAGCCUUUUAGUCCUCCAAUUUUAGCACAAUAUUGAGCAAGAAGUAUUCGGAUUAUUUUUUUAAUGGAAUCCGAGUUGGUAUUUUGCAAUGCAUAUCUUAAAUUUAAAGGAAACUCAAGCUAAAUAAGAAUUAAAAAUAAACUUUCAAUCUAAAAUGACCCGUAGAAUGUUUGGAUCUCCGCUGGAUCAUUAAAAGAUCCGGGCGCAAUUAUUCUUCUAUGAGAGAGGCCCACAAUUGGUGUACUGGGAAGUGAGAAUAUCAGUCCUUAAUGGGGUCUUCUUUCUCAUUAAAAAUCAUAUUUACUCCAACCACACACACACACAUAUAUAUAUCUGCAAUUGUCGUUGAUGCUCUCAAGCUAUUGCAAAUAUCAAAGCACUAGAAGUGUGAUCCUUACCAGGGAUCAGAAGUAAUCUUAGGAUGUGUUUGGAAGUAAGCGUAUGAGUCCAACUACUAAGAUGUUUGGUAAUUUUUUAUAGUUAGGUUUUGAUAGUGCAACAAUUAUUUUUUCUCAGCUCUACUUUACAGUUAUAAUUUUUACUCUACAACAGCUGUACCUUAAAAGUUACAUACCUCACUCUCAAACGCACACUUAAUUUACCACAAACAUAAUAGAAUAAGUUGUGCUAAUUUUUUAUACUAACAAAUAAAUAUUUGAUUCACAUGAAAAUAAAGGGUACAACUAUAUAUUUUUAAAUACAAACUUAUUCUCAAUAUCAUGGUAAUCAAUUACCACGCACUGAACUCCCAUAAGUUGCCAAAAGCUCAAACGAUGACAGCACCAUUAGUGCUCAAGCUUUGGUUUGAGUCAAUGGAAAGAAUGAGUGCGGCCACAAACUUCUCUCAGUGCCCAUAAACCCAGCGGAAAAUUUCUCAAUUGGGUCAAAAAAUAAAUGAAAAGACACUUGAGGAGAAUGUGACGCGAAAGACUACACUCAGGCCACGAAAUUAACCAGAAAGCUUGACCUAAUGGACAAAAGCUGAAAGGAAUAUGAAUCCACAAAAAGGAAGAUUUGACACUUUUUACCUAUAGUUUCAGCUUUUACUAAAUACCCUCUUUCUCUCUGAUGUCAAAACUUAAAAAAAAAAAUUAUUGUUUUGUUGUUGAAAUGAGUUUUUAGUUGAAAACUUUGAGAUAUCAGAGGGGCAAUGACGUAUUAUGAAAACCAUAAGAGGUAGUGGUAAAAGCUCAAAUCUGUAGGGGAUUUAGAAAAGUGUCAUUCUCCCUCUAUAGAACACCAAAAGAAAAAGAAAGAGAAAAAGAAAAAAGAUGAAAGCAUUUAUUCAUCUCCAUGAAUGUACCAGCACAGCAGCAUUGUGGCGCAGCGUCGAAGAACGUAAAUCCUGGCUCGUUGCUCCUUCACCAAAGAAGCACAUUUUCUUGUAAAGCCAUGCCCCUUUCUCUUAGCUGGGGUGCCUGCAAAACACUUAUUUUGCAGGCGAUAUUGGACCUCAGCCAUGCUAAAUUCACAAGUAUAUAUUAAAGAAGAUAUUAAAGAAUCAAUAGGGAGAAAAAGGGCUCACAAUUAUGAGCUAAGGCCUGAUGAUCUUGAAGGGGUUGCUGAUAAUUUAUACACUCUUCACGAUCAGAAAAGUUGGAGUGGCGGGAAUGAAUAUUGCAUUAAAAGAUGUAAGCUUUAGCGUGAUAUUCUAAAAAGAUGAAGAAUUGCUUGAUUUUCAAGUGAGAAAAUGAACAUGGUCAGGACGGCAUGUUUUCGACUUGCUACUCCAAGAAAGAUCGGUUUUUGUGACUUUAGAAAUGUUUAGGAGAUCUAUUAUGAAUAAUGAUAGACAUAUUUAAUUAUACACCGUUAAAAUUUUCUUUGGAAUGACUGAUGUAGCAUAGCAUCGCAUAUAUCAUACAUAUAUUUUUAUUAUAACCUAAUAAUGGCAAUUCAAUUAUUUUCCCACUUAUAUAUUUGAGUGAGAUUCGAAUCUUAAAACUAGUUGUUUCUACACUAAAAUUUUUAUCAAUUGAACUAAAAUAACACUCGCAAUAACAUCACACGUAAUAUCAUAUAAAAUAUUCAACAUUACUCUUCAUUAUUUUAUCAUAUUUUAUUUUUUUCAAUUCCUCGUUUCCAGUUUAAGAAAACAAAGAUGCUUGAAAAGAAUCUAUCUCUCACACAAACACACAUUCUUACACUCUCAACACUUGCAUGUGAGUACGUCAACUCAAAUUCGUACAGAUGCAGAGAAUUGUGUGCAUAAUCAGAGUAAAGUAAGGCAAGUACAAAAAUUUAGAAGCAAUAUAACGUUAGGAUACAAAACAAAUUAAUUUUCGCAACCGGGUUCGAGGAUUACAAUAUAUUUCCCGGCCCAUUUAUGGCCGAUCGCCUUCGCUACUAGUUUCUGCAUUUUAACUUCUGUUGGCUUAUAUAUAAUUUCAUGGUCAAAACUGAUGCUAAUUAACAAGGAUAGUUUGAUAAUUUCCUUAAAAGUUCAUGGACCUAUUCGAUAGAAAUAGAUAAACUAUGCUCUUAUUUGAGACAAUAUAACUAUUUCGGGAUCUAAAUUAAUGUCAUUACCUUGUUAAUCUGCAGAAGACCAAAGUUGAAAAACAACUCGAGCACCAACAACUACAAGCAUAUAUAGGGUUGGUAUUGAUAGUUGAUUUGAUGCCAUAGAGUUGCAAUUUCCAUGAAUAUAAUUUUUUGAAAAGGACAUUGAAUUAUAAAAUAUUGCCCUCAAUCAGCAGAGCAGCCAAGAUACUUCCCAUUAAUUAAUAAAUACUACUAUUCUUAGGCAUGUGCAAGACAAAAGUAAGACUCUAAAAUUAAUUUAUUUUAUCUGAUAGCUACAUUGAUAAAAUAGUAUUAUUUGAAGAAAUUUAAACGUCGUCGAAAAUUGGUUAAGAUGGUUGAACAUUUAUUGAUGGACCACCAUGAGCUUCACAUGUAACAGUUUUUUGAAAAUUUGAAAAAAUAAGAUUGUGAUUUUUGAUUAGUAAAUUCAAAAUUGGUCCUGCUCAUCCAUGAUCAUAAUGAAGUCAAAUAAGUCGACUAAGCUCCAACUUUACGUUUGACUUUAAUUUGUAAUACUUCAAGACAGAUAAAACCCAAUAUUUUUUUUAUGAGUAAUGAUAUAGUCACGAACUCUUGUAUUAAUUUAUUUUGUAUAAACUGAUGUGACAUGAUAAAAUUGGUUAAAUUAAAUAUCACUUGACCCACAUGAUUUAUUUACAUUAUUUUGUAUUUUCAUUCAACCAAUGAAUUGAUGCCACAUCAGUUUGUACAAAAUAAGUUUGUACAAGAGUUUGUGGCAGUAUCAUCACUAUUUUUUUAUUUUGUUGGGCUUUCUCAACUUGAAUUUUUGACUAAUUAUCGCUUCUUUAAACACACUUGAUAGGAAGAGAUAAAUUUUUGUGAUAAUCUUUUUUUUUUAUAGUAUUAUGAAAUAAUUAUUGGAUAAUAAAUUAUACGAAAUUAAAUCUUAAGCCUCGUUUGUGAUUGAGGUUGAAACUCAAUAAAUUGCUUAUUUCAUAAUAUAUGACAAAAAUAGUGUUUUGGUGAAUUUUAUAAAAGUUGCUUAUUUCAUUUUUUUAUUUAUUUUGACUAUAACUUUUAAAAGCAAGUAGGGGGUUGCUUUUCAUUAACAACUUAUUAAAUAAACUACUACAUCUUUUCAAAGUUCCUAUUAUAACCUUAAUUAAUAUUUUAACAAAAAUAACUGUCAUAUUUCUCCAUACACUCUAAUAGAUAGGCCAUUAGAUAUCAUAUUACCACCACAAUCAAAUUACUGACACAACUAUCAUAUAUUCUCUCCAAUAUCAAAGUUUUGAUCUAGUAAGUUCAUAUUUUUUAUAGUAUAUUUGUAUUUUCUAUUAUAAGAUAAAAAAAAGACUUGCAUAUAAUUAUGUAAUUUUUUUUGAACUAUGAACAAUUUCACAUGAAAAUUAACCAUAAUUUUUAAAAUCAAUUUUAUAACCAUGGCUUUUAACAUUCAAUCUAUUUAUAUAUAUUUUUUUCUAUAGUCAUGGUGUUUAUUGCAAUAAGUUUAAUGUGAAAGUAAUGCAUAUUAUUAUUUUUAUUUUAUAUGGAUUAUUUAUUAGCAUGAAUUUUUAUCAUAUUUUAUGUAACAAAUUAUUAAGUUUUUUUUUCACUUAAUACAAUUUUAGGUGUUUAAAAGAGAAAAGGGCAUGUCCAAACAUUAUUAAACUUAUGUCUAUUUUGGUCAUUAUAUUAUAAAAUAACACGUUUGUAAUACAAUUUACCAAAUGCAUGUACACUACUUUUUAAACUCACAGCAACCACAAUAGUAAAAUUUACCAAACAUCAAGUUACUUUUUUAAUCAGCUGUUUAUUGCAUCCGCAUAGUAAAAGCAACUUAUUUAAUAAGCAAUCACAAUCCCAAACUGGUCCCUAAUCGCACAAUAUUAUAAAUACACAAACGAUAAAUGAUUAUGGAAAAAUCAACACAACUCGUACUAAUACUAAAUCCAAAUUUCCUAGAUAUAAAAUUAUCUAAUAUAUGUAAUUGUGUGAGAGAGACUGUGUUAUCUUUUAUAUGUGUUCUAUUGAACCAAGAGUUGGACUUAUACGGCCAAGGACUAGUUGAGGCCUUGAGGUCGUAAACAAUUCCAAAAAUAAAAGGGAUUUAACUUGAAUUGAGUAAAUUUAACAUUUGAUCCCUUGUCUGUACAAUAUUUUUGUUUUAUCAAUUACUCCCUCAAUUUAGUUGUUUCUUCAUUAUGCCCUAACAGACAACGAGAAUAGAUUCGAGCUUCCUGGAUUAGGAUAUAUCAUAUAUGGCACCGGUCUUGUUUAAAGUUUGUAAUCAAUGAUAUGAAUAAGAAACAGUGAAAAACAGAGAAAUUUUUUUUCACUUGAAGCCUUUCAAGUCUAAUAAAUAUUAGCUAUUAAUUAAUUAUGUAAUCCUAUUGACAGUUCAUUACAUUGUGUACAAAAUUAAUUUCUCUUAACAAUAUGGCUCCUACUUCUUGGAUAAAAUAUUAAAUUUGCCUCAAAAGCACAUGGCUUGUCCUCUUCAAUUCUCCCAAUCUUUCCAACGCAAAAACUGUAACUUCUAGCCAUUCCAUUCGGCUGCAAUUCGCCCUCCAUGAUUCUUGAUGAUGCUACACAUAAGAGUUGCCCGAAGUUCUCGUCAUCGCAUCCUUUCAAAGAGUUGACACUAUACCUACUCUUCGGCAGGCUCAUAGUUGGCACCCCAAACGCCAAUUCCUCCAUGCCCUUGACAUAAAAAUCUCUAGCCUUGUAAAGAAUUUUGAUGGGGGCUUUGAAAGUUUUCAUCAACUUUGUUUGCUUUUUAGCUUUGCUUCUCAUUUUUGCAUCCAUAUAUAUGUUGCUAGACAAAUAUCUAAGUAAAUCUGUAAGAGAAGUGGAUCACAACAUAAUCGAUGUGAAAAAAUUAAAUGCCUUCAAUGAGGUUUCAUAUUUUCAUAUUUAUACUAUUUGACUUCUACAACUAAUAGGAAUACUACAAGGUAUCCUCUUGCAAUAAGGACUAAUAUACCAAAUGCAUUUGGGAAACACUAAUCUUAAUGCAUUUACGAAAUCAAUUAUUGUAUUUAAUACUCUAAUAUGUAAAAAAAUUUCGGGGUCCAGACUUGAGCCAAAUGGCUAAAUUAAUAAUUUCAAUAGAUUAAGGCUCCGUUUGGUACAGCUUAUUAAAUAGAGCUUAUAACAGUAGAGCUUAUAGCAGUAGAGCUUAUACCAAUAGAGCUUUUGGACAAAAAGUCAUUGGGUGUUUGGUUGUCAAUAAAAAAAAUACUUUUGAACCAUUAAACUGUGUGAUAUUUUUUUAUUAUAUAUUUUUAGAAAAGUUCUCUAACCUCUACUCCCAAAAGCUCAAAUUUUGGGCUUUUGUUAGUAGAGGUAAAUUAGCUUAUUUAAGCUAAAAAAACUAUACUAAAAAAAAAACCAAACACCAUAAAAAAUUUUAAAAAGUGCUUAUACGAUUAAAUAAGCACUUAUGGCUCUUAAAUAAGCCAUACCAAACAGGCACUAAGUAGAUAAAAUUAUUUCUGAAAAUCUUUAUAGAACUCUGUAAUUUCAUUCAUAUUUUAAAUUAAUAAUUAAAUUAAUUUCAAAUAUAAUUGACUAUAAUAUUUUUCUAUUAAAAUAUGAGUCUAUUGUUACUUUUUUUUUUCUUAAAAUUUAAAUAUAGUAUGGAUCUCACCUCUAAUUUUUCUUAUUGCAUCUAGAAUUCCUAGGUUUCAAUUCUCAAAUUGCAAUCAGAGUUGGUCUUCUAUGAGAGAACAAAGCAUGUGAAAAGGUUGGACCAAUACUCAUUGCUUGAAUACAGGGAUAUCUGUGUCGCCCUCGCAUCUGCUGGAUAUGGAUUGAAAUCUGCAGUCUCUACUGGUUAUGCUUAAGGAACUGUAACUUAGUCAAUUGGUUCUUCGUUCUUCAACUGGAGAAAGGACUAGUUCUGGUAAUGCAAAUGGUACUAACGGAUUUACUACUAGUUCUUUGUCCUCGCACAGCUUUGUAGAUAAUUAAGCAUGCAUAAUAUAUUUAUUUUUUAGUUUAUUUACUGGGCAUUUAGUGGAUUAAUUCAAAUUCAAUUGAUUAGAUUGAUAAAAUACAAUGAACUUUUAGUUAAUUAAAUGUGUGUUCAUAUUCUUUUUGAAAAUUGACAUGUGACAACGUAAAAAUAGAUAAGUAAAAUUCACUACAAUAAUCCUAGUAAUUUGCAAAUUAAACUAUUACAUUCAUUGCAUAAAACGUGCCAAGUUGUCAGCAGCCAUGCAUUCAAUUAUUGACAACGAAUAAUAAUCGUGAAAGUAAGUCAAUGAAGUUUUACAUAUAUAACGUUAUUUUGUUGAAAACUUGGUACCUCUUGAUUAUGGUGUAUAACAGUUUUGGAAAUAUUGAAGCAAUUAAUAUUAUCUCGUGGUCACUGGUCAAGUAGUCAUCUACUCAUCCAUGACCAUGAAGAAAUCAACCUAGCAGCUUGCAAUUUAGACUCCAAUUUUAACACUUUAUGCCUUCUAUCUCUUUUUUAUUCACUAACAGUAUUAUCCCUCUUGUUUCUGCCUAGCUUAUCUUUUGAAUUGUAAUAUAUUUUUUUAGUUACAUGAAGACCGCUCCAUCAAAAUUUCAACCCAAAUUUUAUUAAUCGAUGCUCUUCAAAUUUAACCUCUGGCAUCCACCGCAAGAGGCAAAUCAAUUAACCACCAUAGAGGAGCACCUAGUGGCAAGUGGUAUAUGGUGGCUUCCCACCCCCUUUUCUCAAGAGGUUACAUAGGAGUAAAUGUUAUUUCGUCAAUAUGCGGACAUUUAAUAAGAGGCAAGGAUAAUGAAAGCGAAUAAAAUUGAACCUCAGAUAGAAAAGAAAACAAACGAGUCAAAACUUCCCCUUCGAGACUUGUCUGUGAGGUAUUUCAUCAAACGCUGUUAUAUUUCCACCAAAUACUUGUUUCCUUCAACCAUAAGAGGCAAAAAUGUUGCAGCUAAUUAAACAAACAAUGAUUAUGGUCUAUUAUAUAGUUUUGAAUUUUGAAUUUAAUUCCCAGGAUAGGAAUGUAAAACAAUCAAUAAGAAUGAGUUUAAUCUUAUUCACUAUUCAUUACACAAAUUUCCUCUUAACAGCAUGGCUUCUACUUCUUGGAUACAAUAAAUUAGCCUUCACAGCAUCUUCCACAAAAGCACAAGGCUUGUCCUCCUCAAUUCUCCCAAUCUUUCCAACACUAACACUGUAACACCUCGCCAUUCCAUUCGGCUGCGAUUUGCCAUCCGUGAUUCUCGUUGAUGCUGCACGCAGGAGUUGCCUGAAGUCCUCAUCAUCGACUGCAUUGAUAGAGUUGACACUAUAACUCUUCGACAAGCUCGCAGCCGGCGCAGCCAAUCCAUUCAUGCCCUUCACGUAAAAAUCUCGAGCCUUGCAAAGAAUUUUGAUGGGGACUUUGCAUAUUUUCGUCAACUUGGUUUGCUUUUGAGCUUCGCCUCUCAUUUUUAAUCUGUAAAUAUGUUGCUGACAAGAGAUAGCUUUGCGGAAGAGAAAUGGAACGAGCUAAGAACUAUAGGAGACUUGGAUAUGAUAAAGACGAAGAGAGUGAGAGAUUAUAUAGAGGUGUUGCUUGAUUAUUUAUUAUUUUAUAUUUUUAUAAACAUGUUUCUCCGAAGUAUCUAGCUUCGGGUGGCUGCAUUUAAUAUAAAUUUGACUGAUUAAUUAUUUGCCUGUUUCCAUGUACAUGUGAUACUGAUGCCUGGAUAUAAUACUCAGAAUUUGACUAAUAAGUGAUUUUCAUUCAUUAGCAUCCGGCAUAUAUAUAAUAUUCAUUGAUUGACUGAUAAAUAGUAUAUAUGGAUGUUUGUUCGAAGAAAUUGCGAUAAAUAAAUUGAAUUUUGUAUUAUACGAAAUAAUUGAAAUUUUAUAGCAUCACGAUUUCUACAUGCAACAACUAUGAGAAUUUUGGAACAUAAGAUGAUGAUUUGGUCACUGGUCGUCCAUGAUCAUGGUGAAGUCAACUGUCUGAGCACAAACUUUCCAUCUUGAUUCCAUUUCUUAACACUCCAUGCCUACUAUCUCUUCUUAACUUAUUAUCAUAAAUGAUCCUCUUGUAGAUAUAUACAUGUACUUAUUAAUUUUCCGCGGAAAAACAAGUUCAAAUUUUGUAUUGAUUAGAAUUCUCUCUUAGAUUUGAAUUUUGUCAAAUAAUAAUAUUGUGAUUGCAAAUUGUUAGAUAGAAAUACAACAUAAAAGUAAUUAUAUUGGAGUCAUACCUGAUCAUUUACACACCAGAUAUGAUAGUAUAGAGAAAGAGCAAAAAAUAGGUGACAGUAUUAACUCUUUUUCCCAAACAUUAUAACAUAAUUAUCACUUUCAGGCUCGAACCCAUUUUUCAUAAAAUGCACUAUUAGUUUGUAUUUUACGAAGAGUACAAAUUUAGAUAUGGCCAGUGGCAUGGUACGGCUUGCGCCGUAUGGCACGACGCCAUAGCACAGCUCAACAAUGGACCAUGCGGAGCGAAGUAUUUUGAUCAAUCGAUCAUGUCGUGCUCAGGCACGACAUAGGCCAAGCCAAGCCUAGGUACAGCACAAUAAUGGGCACAACAUGAGCACCAGCCCAUUUUACAUAAAAUAUUUGUAAAUUAUUAUUAUUUGUUAAUUUCUUAUUUUGUUUUGUUGUAGAAAAAUUAAAUACAAAUUUACAAAUUAAAGUUCAAUAUUUAAAAAUUAAAUUUGAAAAUUUACUUUGUAUUCUAAAUUUCUAAUUUCACAUUGAUAAAUCUAUUAAUUGAAUUAUUUGAAUCAUCAUUAAUAAUUUAAUUUUUAAAGAAUAAAUAUAAAAAUCACUCAAAUUAAAUUAAAAAUAACAUUAAGAGAUAAAUAAAAUAAAGUUUAUUUUUACGAAAUGAAAAGCUACAAAGUACAAAUAAAAUGAAAUAUGACAUAAUUUGCAUCACUAACUAGGUUGGCACCUAUUGAUAACUGAACUAUCUAUCAUUUACAUAUUACAACAAUUUUAUUUACUAGAAAGUUCCUAAAUUUUAAUCUUCAUUCUCAUUGUCGGACACUUACAUCAACUUCAAAUGAACAUUGUGGCAUCAUCAACAUUUGUAUCAUUUUGUCAAUUUUGAUAUAUGGUAUCGGACACUUACAUUGUCAUCUUUUUCAUUGUUUGAGUUAAUUUAAAUUGAAUUUGUAGAAAUAGUUACUGUUUUACAUUUUAAAAAUUAUAAAUCAUGUGAUCAAAAUAGAAUUAAAUUUGUAUUAUUAAUGAAAGAUUUUUUGUUUUUCUACUCUUAUUAAGGUUAUUGUAUGUUUUUAAUUUUUAUUUGUUCUAUUAAAAGCAAUUAAUAUGUUUUAAUUAAUAAAUUAAUUAAAGGCACUGUAAUUUACUUUAGUCUUUAUACAUUAUCAUUAUGAUUUCUUGACUACUGAAUUUGAUUAGCCAAGUGGAUAGGUGUCUCCAGCGUGAGUCAUGAUGGCCAAAUGCCUAGGCUUGGCUUAUGGCCUUGUGCCAAGUGAAGGGCAGCAACGCGGGCGUGCUCGGGAGAGAGCACGAGGGCAAGGCAAGACUGACACAUGGGCCUAGGCAUUGCAACAAGUGUACGCUAUGGGACAAGCGCGAGGAGUGUGAGGCAGCUCAUGCAAAGGUGUUGCGUGGCAUGCAACAUCUCGCAAGUGAGUGGACAUGCGAGCGCGUGAGUGCGAGACACACGAAGCAUGUGGGCACGGGAUGCAUGGGACGCGCGCAAGCUAAAUGACAGAAUGUGGGAGGGCACGAGGCACUAGCGCAAAUACAUGCAGGGAUAGUGCGCAAACAUGUAGCACAGUUGGGCAUGCUCGGGGGCCAAACUAUUUAAAGAGGAAAGGUGUGUCACAUGCGGGCUGUAUGCGGGCAAUGGUGGUAGAAAAAUGGAGCAUGUUGGCUACAAAUUCUCCAAAAAUGGGACCUAGAAUCAAGCAUGAAGUGGGUAAUUGUGGGUACAACUAGUGGGAGGACAUGGCUUUAGAUCACACACUUAGAAAAUAGGGGCAAGGGAAGUGGGCAAUGAUGACUGCUCAUGAAGAGAGGUGGGUAGCGGCGGUUACACUCCAUAAUAUCCUUGCUACUAGGCUAAGUGGGUAGCGCUUAUUCAAGAGGGAGUGGAGGUGUGGUUCCACACAAUAUGCUUAGUGGUGCCUAAAUUCUAGGAGAAGGAAUUGAGGUGGCGUAAGGGUAGAGCGCUACCUCGCCUUAGCAAAUGGGGGUGUCAUUUGCAAACUUGUAAAUGUAGUGAUGGGAAUCUAUGUUUUAAAGAUUCAGAUUUUGGUAAAGAGAGUGGUGUCCUUCAGCAUACAAAGCCUUAGGCUAUUUAUAAUCUUUUCUUAUUUGUAGAAAUAAAAAAGUUAGGGGUUGGAGCCUUAAUAAAAACCUAAAAUUUGUGUUCUUUGUUGUUGGCAAAAUUAGUUUCUUGCAUAAACCUCUGUUUCAGGUAAACCUCCAUUGCGGGUCUUUGCGUACUUGUUGCUUUAUUUGCUUUCGCUAGGCAUCGUUCAAUGGCUGGCGAAGCGAAGACUUAGUGCCAUCACGCGGGGUUGCCACAUUCUCGAGAUAAGCCCCGAUGGCAAUAAGGGCAACCAGUUUACUUGGAGUCUUGAGUUCUACACUCAAUAACAGCACAAAAAAAAUGAAAUUGAUAAAUUUUAAAUUAAAAUUGAGGUUUAUGUCGAAAAAAAAGAGGCCCGUGGCUGGCCCAUCAACACAACUAAGCCAUCUCUUUGCCAAUAUAGCCAAGUGACCACAUUUAUGCAAAUUAACAUUUAUAAGGGAAAAAAAAAGUAUAUUUUCCAUUUAGGAAGACAAAAAAAUUUAGGCUCAACACAUCACCGUGAUGUGUAAAAAUCAUCUAGUCACUUAAAUCUGUUAGAAAAAAUCAUCUAAUCACUUAAAUCUUUUGUGUUGUCUAUGUAUUAUAUAUACUCCCAGCGGCCAGAGAAUGGCUCAAUCUAAGGCCUUUUGUUCAGCAUCUCUUUCUUUUAGCAAGGGAUCUACUAAUUGAUAUGUUUCCACAAAUAAUUGAUAGCUCAAAUCCCAGAUCCCAGAGACAGUCAAGUUAAUAACUACAAAUAGUCAUCAACUCUCUCAAAAGGGUAGAAGAAUGAUCCCUAUAAUGGCACAUAAAAUUCAAAUAUUUGUGACUAAUCUCUCUUUCCUUUUUUUUUUUUUUUUGGUUUUACUGCUGUACCGUACAUCCGCCUUGGCCGUACAGCAGCUAAGGCUCAAUCUAAGGCCUUUUGUUCAGCAUCUCUUUCUUUUAGCAAGGGAUCUACUAAUUGAUAUGUUUCCACAAAUAAUUGAUAGCUCAAAUCCCAGAUCCCAGAGACAGUCAAGUUAAUAACUACAAAUAGUCAUCAACUCUCUCAAAAGGGUAGAAGAAUGAUCCCUAUAAUGGCACAUAAAAUUCAAAUAUUUGUGACUAAUCUCUCUUUCCUUUUUUUUUUUUUUUUGGUUUUACAAUUAUAGAUAGAAUAAAGAGGGAAAGUGAAAGAAAAAGAAGGUGGCUUCAACAUCAGCAGAACUCGGGUCAGGCUUUGAUUAAAUUAAUUAUCCAAUUCAAGGUAAAAGAAAAUGGAAAUCGAAAUAUGGUUAAGGUAAGAGUACCCUUUAUUGCAAGAUCUUUAAAUGAAAUACAUGACUGCAAUUAAUAAUUUAGUUAGAAAUUCUUGUAUUACUUAUUAUUUCUUAUUUAUUUAUUGUAUUGAUUGCAAUAAAAUCUAAGUUUAUUUUGAGUGGUUAGCAACGGAAAAUGAUCCUCUCCUGAUCUAAUCUCUCCUGAACUUUUCAAGAUCUUUUGCCAUGUAUCUUUUAGUAGUAGUAUAUGGGUAAGAUUCAACUUCCUUUAUUUUUCUAUUUAUUAACUUCAAUAAGCAGUUGAGUUAUUUGCUCAGAACAUGAUCAGAUUAGGAGAGAAUCAUAAUUCGUUAACAACUUCUAUAAAAUGCUCUCACAUACCCCGAGCUUAGUUAUUAAUCUUAAAUUUAAAUUGUGUUGCUCGAAAUGCAACAAUUUUAAAUUGUAAAUGCAACCAUUUAUAGCUAAAAAUUGUUGGGCCCAAUCAAAACAGCCCACUAAUUCUUUUUUGUUUUUCCUUUUAUGGUAUGAAAAACUCAGAUCUUAUCGAACAAUUCCUCUCAAACUCUACAAAUGUCCGAUAAAAUUGAUAUUGACAAUAAAAAAAUUUGGCUUCCAGGCGCUGCAUCUUAUACCAAAGAUGUAUCUAGAUUUAAUCUUCGAUUAGAGAAAUCUAGAUUUAAUCUUCGAUUAGAGAAUUGAUGAAAUUUUUCAAAGGAAGAACAUAAUUAAUUAAGAAGAAACAAAGAAUUAAGUUUGUCUUUUAUAUACUAAUACUCUUUACUUUUCCAAAUUUAGCUAGUUUCCAUGUACAUCGGGAUAAUAUAUUACUAUUGGUUUUACACAAAAUUCCUCUUGACGGCACGGCUUCUACUUCUUGGAUACAACAAAUCGGCCUUCACAGCAUCUUCCACAAAAGCACAAGGCUUGUCCUCCUCAAUUCUCCCAUCUUCCACAAAAGCACAAGGCUUGUCCUCUCACAGCAUCUUCCACAAAAGCACAAGGCUUGUCCUCCUCAAUUCUCCCAAUCUUUCCAACACUAACACUGUAACUCCUAGCCAUUCCAUUCGGCUGCAAUUUUCCAUCUAUGAUUCUCGUUGAUGCUGCACGCAAGAGUUGCCUGAAGUCCUCAUCAUCGACUGCUUUGAUAGAGUUGACACUGUAACUCUUCGACAAGCUCACAGCCGGCGCAGCCAACUCAUUCAUGCCCUUCACGUAAAAAUCUCGAGCCCUACAAAGAAUUUUGAUGGGGGCUUUGCAUAUUUUCAUCAACUUGGUUUGCUUUUGAGCUUUGCCUCUCAUUUUCAAUCUUGCUGACAAGAGAUAGCUUUGUGGUUGUGAACGAGAAAUGGAACAAGCUAAGAACUGUAAGAGACUUGGAUAUGAUAAAGAUAAAUAGAAUUAGAGAUAUAUAUAUAGAGGUGUUGCUCGAUUAUUUAUUAUUUUAUAUUUUUGUAAGCAUGUUUCUCCGAAGUAUCGAGCGUUGGAUGACUGUAUUUAAUAUGAAUUUGACUGAUUAAUUUCCAUUCAAUACUCAGAAGUUGACUAAUAAGUUAUUUUCAUUUAUUAGCAUCCUGCAUAUGUAUAUUAGUAUAUAUAAUAUUCAUUGAUUGACUAAUAAAUAGUAUAUAUGGCUGUUUGUUCGAAGAAAUUGCGAUAACUAAUUGAAUUGUUUAUUACAUGAAAUAAUUGAAAUUUUAUAGCAUCACGAUUUCCACAUGUAACAAUUACGAGAAUAUUGGUACACAAGAUGCUGAUUUGGUCACUGGUCAUCCAUGACCAUGAUGAAGUCAACAGUCUGAGCUCAAACUUUCCAUCUUGAUUCCAUUUUGUAGCAGUCCAUAUAUGCCCUGUAUCUCUUUUUAAAUUAUUCUGUUAGAUGAUCCAUUUGUAAAUGUAUAUAUAUAUGUGUACUAAUCAGUCCUUUGCUAAAAAAUAAGUCAAACUUUUUAUAUGAUACGAAUUCUCUCUUUAUUUGAGUUUUACCAAAGUAAAAUACAAGAUUUUGAUUGCUAGUUGUUAGAUAGAAAUAUAAUAAAAAAGUAAUUGUAUUUAAAUCAUAUCCGAUUAUUUAUGCGUGACAUAAGAUAGUAUAGAAAAAGAGCUCAAAAUAAGAGACAGCAUUAACUCCUUUCGCCAAUCAUUAUAAGAUAAUUAUCAUUUUCAGGCACUUUUUAUAAAAUGCAUGCUCAAGCAAUGCACUGUUAUUUAGUAUUUUGAGUGCAAAUUAACAUAUCUACAAGAGAGAAUUAAUGUAUAUACUAUUCCAUUUAGUUGGGAAGGCAAAAAGUUCAAGCUCGACAUAUCCCGACCAGUGGUUGGAGGGCCGGGCCGGACCUGGGCUCACAUGAAAAACCCAAGCCGGAGACGGGCUCGGAUAUUAAUCUUAUAUUUAAAUUUUUAUUUCUCUAAGCAAAACAAAUUUUACUUUUAAAUGCAAUCAUGUGUAACAAAAAAUUUUAACGCCCAAUCAAAACAGCCCGCUAUUUUGUUUGUUUCUGUUUAAACUAAUCAAGUACCCCUCAUAUGAUAUGAAAAACCUGAGAUCUUAUUGAACAAUUCCUCAUAGCUCACGUGUAGUCGGAAGAAAUGGUAAGAGAGGAUAGGAAUGAUAAAGAAAGAGGGGGAGAAAAGAUGAGUCAAAAAAAAAAAAAGUCAAUCUCAUUUUCAUUAUUUGAUUAGAUAUUAAUUUCAUCUUUCUCCUUUUAUUUCUUUUCCCUCACUUCCUUUGCUCUUCUCUCUUUUUUUUCUUCAAACCAACCAUGGCAUUUACUCUAUCCGAUAGAAUUGACAUUAAAAAUAAAUAUAACUGAUAUUAAAAAUUAAAAAAAAAAAAACACUGACUUAGGGGCGCUGCAUCUUACCCCAAAGGUUCAGGAUUAAUCUUCGAUUAGAUAAAUAUUUGAAAGAAGGAACAUAAUUAAUUAAGAAGAAUAAAUCUUAAUUCUUGCAUACAUUCUCUACUUUUUCCAAAUUAGCUAGUUUAUAUAUACAUCAGGAUAAUAUUGGUUUUACACAAAAUUUCUUUUGACGGCAUGGCUUCUACUUCUUGGAUACAACAAAUCGGCCUUCACAGCAUCUUCCACAAAAGCACAAGGCUUGUCCUCUUCAAUUAUCCCAAUCUUUCCAACACUAACACUGUAACUUCUAGCCAUUCCAUUCAGCUGCAGUUUCCCCUCCAUAAUUUUUGUUGAUGCUGCGCGUAAGAGUUGACUAAAGUCCUCUUCAUCAUCCCAUGCUCUCAACGAGUUGACGCUAUAACUCUUCGGCAACCUCGUAGCUGGCGCUGCACCCAAUUCCUGCAUGCCCCGCACGUAAAAAUCUCUAGCCUUACGAAGAAUUUUAAUGGGGGCUUUGAAAAUUUUCGUCACCUUGGUCUGCAUUUUAGCUUUGCUUCUCAUCAACUUUGUAUCCAUAUAUAUGUGUUGCUGAAAGAGAAAUAUAGAUAUGUGGGAUAGAAAUGGAACAAGAACUAUUAAGAGACUUUGAUGAUGAGAUGAAGAGAGUUAGAGAUGUAUAUAAAUGUGUUACUAAAUUGAUUCGAUUUUAAUCAUUUUGAUUAAUUUAUAUCUAACCAUGUUUCUCCGAAGUAGCUGAGGACGAUUAUAGAAUUGUUUAAAAAAAUUAAAAAAAGUCCACUUAGAACAUGACGCUCGCAUAAAAUAUGAAUUCGACAAAUAAACAACAUAUAUGCCUCUCAGCAUGUGAUUUUCAUUGCAUUGGCAUCCGGUACAUUGGAUAUAAUAAUAUUCAUUUGACUAAUAAAUAAUAUGGCUGUUUCAUUAUUUUCGUUUUUAGUAAUUAGCAUAUGGUUCUUGCAUAUAAUAUAAUAUUCAUUUCUUGACUAAUAAAUAGUCAAUGAUGCCUGUUCUAAGAAAUUACGUAAAUAAAUUUUGUUCUUUUAAGUUUUUUAUUUUCCUUCUAAUUUAAAGAGAAUUGUUUGCCUGCUGUACGGCCAAGGCGGAUGUACGGUACAGCAGUCUAUUGUUACUUUUUUUUUUCUUAAAAUUUAAAUAUAGUAUGGAUCUCACCUCUAAUUUUUCUUAUUGCAUCUAGAAUUCCUAUAUUAAUUUCAUCUUUCUCCUUUUAUUUCUUUUCCCUCACUUCCUUUGCUCUUCUCUCUUUUUUUUCUUCAAACCAACCAUGGCAUUUACUCUAUCCGAUAGAAUUGACAUUAAAAAUAAAUAUAACUGAUAUUAAAAAUUAAAAAAAAAAAAACACUGACUUAGGGGCGCUGCAUCUUACCCCAAAGGUUCAGGAUUAAUCUUCGAUUAGAUAAAUAUUUGAAAGAAGGAACAUAAUUAAUUAAGAAGAAUAAAUCUUAAUUCUUGCAUACAUUCUCUACUUUUUCCAAAUUAGCUAGUUUAUAUAUACAUCAGGAUAAUAUUGGUUUUACACAAAAUUUCUUUUGACGGCAUGGCUUCUACUUCUUGGAUACAACAAAUCGGCCUUCACAGCAUCUUCCACAAAAGCACAAGGCUUGUCCUCUUCAAUUAUCCCAAUCUUUCCAACACUAACACUGUAACUUCUAGCCAUUCCAUUCAGCUGCAGUUUCCCCUCCAUAAUUUUUGUUGAUGCUGCGCGUAAGAGUUGACUAAAGUCCUCUUCAUCAUCCCAUGCUCUCAACGAGUUGACGCUAUAACUCUUCGGCAACCUCGUAGCUGGCGCUGCACCCAAUUCCUGCAUGCCCCGCACGUAAAAAUCUCUAGCCUUACGAAGAAUUUUAAUGGGGGCUUUGAAAAUUUUCGUCACCUUGGUCUGCAUUUUAGCUUUGCUUCUCAUCAACUUUGUAUCCAUAUAUAUGUGUUGCUGAAAGAGAAAUAUAGAUAUGUGGGAUAGAAAUGGAACAAGAACUAUUAAGAGACUUUGAUGAUGAGAUGAAGAGAGUUAGAGAUGUAUAUAAAUGUGUUACUAAAUUGAUUCGAUUUUAAUCAUUUUGAUUAAUUUAUAUCUAACCAUGUUUCUCCGAAGUAGCUGAGGACGAUUAUAGAAUUGUUUAAAAAAAUUAAAAAAAGUCCACUUAGAACAUGACGCUCGCAUAAAAUAUGAAUUCGACAAAUAAACAACAUAUAUGCCUCUCAGCAUGUGAUUUUCAUUGCAUUGGCAUCCGGUACAUUGGAUAUAAUAAUAUUCAUUUGACUAAUAAAUAAUAUGGCUGUUUCAUUAUUUUCGUUUUUAGUAAUUAGCAUAUGGUUCUUGCAUAUAAUAUAAUAUUCAUUUCUUGACUAAUAAAUAGUCAAUGAUGCCUGUUCUAAGAAAUUACGUAAAUAAAUUUUGUUCUUUUAAGUUUUUUAUUUUCCUUCUAAUUUAAAGAGAAUUGUUUGCCAAGGUAUAUUAUUAAAAAUUGGUGAUGUCAUUAUUUUCACACGUAAAAACUUUUGUAGGAAAUCGUAGAUAGAUGUGCAGAAUACAUCAUCGAGGUUUAUCAAACACAAUUUUGUCAGGUAUAUAAUUUGUCAUAGAUUGACUAUUUAUAAUAAUAAUAAUAAAAAUUUAAAUCUUGGGUUGUAAUUUUAUUGAAUUAUCUUAUUAGAAUUGUUCUAUAUGAGACUUUUCUCACCUUAAAAAUAUUGAAAAAAAAAAAUAUGUUGACUUGGUUCUAAUUCAUGACAAAAAAAGUCUCGUCCUUUAAAUAGAUGGGAAAAUGAUGUUCUUACAAAACUUUGCACAAAACGGUUGGUUUUGUACAAAGUAUAUGAUGAUGCAGUGCUCCAAUCCAAUGAAACAUUGCCAUAUGGUAACAGAGAAUAAAAAUUACAUAAGCUAUAAUUUUUUAACUAAUGAAUUUUAAAAUACUUGAACUUAUAUUUUAGAAAAAUAACAUAAAUUAAUAAUUUAUUAAUUAAUUGAUGUUUUUACUCAAUUAAUUCCUAUAUUUUUAAGUUGGUAUUUAUUCUUUUUAUCCAAUCAAUGUCAUUAACGUAUGGUUUUAUUAUUGGAGAGAAUCGUAAUUAAGUAAUUAUUAAGCCCUCGUUUAGUAGCAUCUUUAAAAAUUUUUAAAGAAAAAAAAAAACUCAUUUGUGACUACUGCGUUGUACGCUGUUCGGCUGCCAUAGCAGCAGUCCCAAACGGGGCCUAAGAAGCUUGCAUACAACUUGCCCAUUUUGAUCCUUGAUUGUCUCAAUCAUGCUAUCGAAACUUUCUUCGUAUAUGGCUGUAUACAGCCUAUAUUCAGCAGUUUUUAUUUUUAUUUUUAUUUUUUUCCCUUCUUCAGCCUUUAACGGCUACUUAAUGGAGUGUAUAUACUAGCUCAUCUCUUAUUUUUUGAGAUAAUAAAAUAAUGGCUGAUGUUUGCUCACCUCUUAUUGUUCAUGUUUCAAACGCAUCAAAAUCUUUUACCUUAAAAAAAAGAAAAUUAUGUCGAUUCCUGGCAACUGCUUGCACAAUGAUCAGCAGUGGAUAAUAAAAGUAAAAAUGUUGAAAGUUAAUAGUUUGGAACAUUAGGGAAAAUGAUUAACACAAUGGGGGUGAGAUUGAGACAUAGCCAUUAUGAUAAUCAAAUAUAGCAAAGAUCAAGGUGUUAACUAAUAACCCCGUAUAUGUUACAAACAAACUCAUAUCAUCUCUAAUUAAUCCUCGUUUGGAGAAGAGACAUAGCAGAUCUAUCAAUAUUUCAAACUUCAAAGGAAGAACAGAUGAAGAAAAUAUAUUAAGUGGGUAUUAUAGUUGAAUUGGUAAUAUCUCUUACAUCGAAAACAAGAAGUAUGCAGUUUGAAACCUGCUCACAUGAAUAGGAGAAGGGAAUUGAGUUACUAUUAGACUAAAUAAGAAGUAUAAUUAAAAUUGACUAAUCUUACAUAUGACCUAUCUUUUCAAAUAGUUUAAUUUCCAAGUACUUCGAGAUACUAUGAUAAUAUUGAUUCAUAUUCACUAUUCAUUAAUUAUAUAGAAUUCCUCUAAAGAAAUUGGCUUCUUAUUCUUGGAUACAACAAAUUAACCUUCAGAGCAUCUUCCUGAAAGAACAAGGCUUGUUCUCCUCAAUUCUCCCAAUCUUUCCAACACUAAAAAUGUAAUAUGUAGCCAUUCCAUUCGGCUGUACUUCGCCCUCCAUAAUUUCCGUUGAUGCUACGCAUAAGAGCUGCCUCAGAACCUCAUUAUCACAUGCUCUCAUAUAGUUGACACUACAACUCUUCAGGGAGCAGAAAGCUGGCGCAGCCAAAUUCUCCAUGCCCUUUAAGUAAAAAUCUCUAGCUUUCCUUAGAACUUUAAUGGGGGUUUUGAAAAUUUUCCUCAACAUGGUUUGCAUUUUACCUUUGCAUCUCAUUUUGUAUAUAUAUAUAUGUAUAUAUGUGGCUGAAAGAGAUUAAUUGGAUGAUGAAAUGAAGAAGGGAGUUAGAUAGAUAUAUAUAUAAAUAGGUGAUGUAAAUUGAUAUUACUUAAUUAUUUUGAUUAAUUUAUAUCUAAGAACGUUUCUCCGAAGUUAGCUUCGGAUGUGUUAAUAAAAAU
rnacentral:lncRNA from 1 species